rnacentral:rRNA from 1 species
UGGGGAAUUUUGGACAAUGGGCGCAAGCCUGAUCCAGCUAUUCCGCGUGUGGGAUGAAGGCCCUCGGGUUGUAAACCACUUUUGUAGAGAACGAAAAGACACCUUUUAAAAAAGGGUGUUGCUGACGGUACUCUAAGAAUAAGCACCGGCUAACUACGUGCCAGCAGCCGCGGUAAUACGUAGGGUGCGAGCGUUAAUCGGAAUUACUGGGCGUAAAGGGUGCGCAGGCGGUUGAGUAAGACAGAUGUGAAAUCCCCGAGCUUAACUCGGGAAUGGCAUAUGUGACUGCUCGACUAGAGUGUGUCAGAGGGAGGUGGAAUUCCACGUGUAGCAGUGAAAUGCGUAGAUAUGUGGAAGAACACCGAUGGCGAAGGCAGCCUCCUGGGACAUAACUGACGCUCAGGCACGAAAGCGUGGGGAGCAAACAG